GGUGGCUCAGUGGUAGAGCUCUUGCCUUGCAUGCACGAGGUCCUGGGUUCGAUUCCUCAGUACCA
rnacentral:tRNA from 1 species